rnacentral:rRNA from 1 species
UACAUAGCGUGAGGAAGGCAGACCCAGGGAACUGAAACAUCUAAGUACCUGGAGGAAGAGAAAGAAAAAUCGAUUUCCUGAGUAGCGGCGAGCGAAACGGAAAGAGCCCAAACCAAGAAGCUUGCUUCUUGGGGUUGUAGGACACUCUAUACGGAGUUACAAAAGAAAGUUAUAAAUGAAGCGGUCUGGAAAGGCCCGCCAAAGACGG